rnacentral:rRNA from 1 species
CAUGCAAGUCGAGCGAAGCACUUUGGAAAGAUUCUUCGGAUGAUUUCCUUUGUGACUGAGCGGCGGACGGGUGAGUAACGCGUGGGUAACCUGCCUCAUACAGGGGGAUAACAGUUAGAAAUGACUGCUAAUACCGCGUAAGACCACGGUACCGCAUGGUACAGUGGUAAAAACUCCGGUGGUAUGAGAUGGACCCGCGUCUGAUUAGGUAGUUGGUGGGGUAACGGCCUACCAAGCCGACGAUCAGUAGCCGACCUGAGAGGGUGACCGGCCACAUUGGGACUGAGACACGGCCCAGACUCCUACGGGAGGCAGCAGUGGGGAAUAUUGCACAAUGGAGGAAACUCUGAUGCAGCGACGCCGCGUGAAGGAUGAAGUAUUUCGGUAUGUAAACUUCUAUCAGCAGGGAAGAAAAUGACGGUACCUGACUAAGAAGCCCCGGCUAACUACGUGCCAGCAGCCGCGGUAAUACGUAGGGGGCAAGCGUUAUCCGGAUUUACUGGGUGUAAAGGGAGCGUAGACGGCACGGCAAGCCAGAUGUGAAAGCCCGGGGCUCAACCCCGGGACUGCAUUUGGAACUGCUGAGCUAGAGUGUCGGAGAGGCAAGUGGAAUUCCCAGUGUAGCGGUGAAAUGCGUAUAUACUAGGAGGAACACCAGUGGCGAAGGCGGCUUGCUGGACGAUGACUGACGUUGAGGCUCGAAAGCGUGGGGAGCAAACAGGAUUAGAU